UUUCAAUUUUUAUUUUCUUUAUCAGUUUAUUUUUUAAAAUUAAAAUAAUAUGUAAGUGGCUGUUCAACCCCUCUUCUAUUUCCGCUUCUGCUUUAAGCAACAAUAUGCCUAGAAGAUUGUAUAGCAAGUUGAAAAGUCACUUGCUCCUAUUGCAAUGGAUUUUUUUUUUUUUUUUUGAGAGAGAUAGAUAGGACGCUACCCGCUUCAUUUAUUUUAUUAAGAAAUAAACUUAGUUGGAAAUGUGAAUCAACUAGGAUUCGAACUUGAGACCUCGGGUACCAACCACCAGCGCUUUUCCACUUGCUCUAGAGACGGUCGAUAUUACAAUGGAUAUUUUAAGAAAUGA
rnacentral:lncRNA from 1 species